UACAGAGGGUGCGAGCGUUAAUCGGAAUUACUGGGCGUAAAGGGCGCGUAGGCGGUUAUAUAAGUUAGAUGUGAAAUCCCUGGGCUUAACCUAGGAACUGCAUCUAAGACUGUACAACUGGAGUGCAGUAGAGGGUAGUGGAAUUUCCGGUGUAGCGGUGAAAUGCGUAGAUAUCGGAAGGAACACCGAUGGCGAAGGCAGUGGUCUGGGCCGAUACUGACGCUGAGGAGCGAAAGCGUGGGGAGCGAACAGG
rnacentral:rRNA from 1 species